rnacentral:misc_RNA from 1 species
GACAUUCAUUACCAAAUUACUUCACAUGGCUGAUGAGAAAGGGAUGAAAUUUUCUGAGCCAGUUGCUGCAUUUGGUGUAUGGAAACCCUGUCCUGAGCAAGAUUUUACAAGGCUUAAGCAGGAAUACUCAAACCUACAAUUGGUAUUAGUUAUCUUAGGAAGAGGAGGUGAUCUUUAUGCUCAUAUCAAGAGGACAGGGGACACUGAAGUUGGUAUAUUGAGCCAGUGUGUUCAAGCAACAAAUGUGACUGCAAUUAAACCACAGACACUUGGAAACAUUCUCCUGAAGAUCAAUGCAAAGAUGGGUGGUAUUAACAAUGUUCUUUCAAGAACUGGAAUGCCUAUGAUAUUAGAAAGACCUGUUAUGAUUAUGGGUGCAGAUGUAAAUCAUCCAUCAGCUGGAGAUGGAGAAUCCCCGUCCAUGGCUGCAGUUGUUGCCUCAUAUGAUAGGUUUGCCUCCAAAUUUUCUGUAGAAGUGAGACCUCAGCCACAUCGUGUGGAAAUAAUUCAAGAUCUAAAGGAAAUGACCAAAAACUUGUUAAGGUCAUUCUUCAUUUACACAAAAGGACAUAAGCCCGAAAGAAUUGUUAUGUAUCGUGAUGGAGUUAGUGAGUCUCAGUUUCAAGAAGUAUUGUCAUAUGAGCUGAAAGCUAUGCGAACAGCUUGUACUGAAACAGAAGUUGACUACACACCUGGCAUCACUUUCUUAGUGGUUCAAAAGCGGCAUCAUACAAGAUUGUUCUGUGAGGACAGAGAUGGUGUUGGGUAUUCAAGGUACCAGCAAACCAACUCAUUACCAUAUUCUGUGGGAUGACAAUGAUAUGACAAUGGAUGAUAUACAGAUGCUAACCUACAGUUUAUGCCAUCUGUACUUUCGUUGUACAAGAUCUGUCUCCCUUCCAAGCCCUGCGUACUAUGCUCAUUUGGCUGCUUUCAGGGCAAAAGUACACAUCUCAGAAUUGUCUGAAAGGGAUGGAGAUGGUAUGACUCAGGAAGAAAUUAAGUGUGUUGCUACAGUUGAACAGAAAAAUGCACUCUCAA